AAUUGAAAUGGGUUGCUUGUCGAUUAACUGGAAGAAACCGGGGAACGAAAGAAAGUUGUGUUUCUCUUAACGGAUUACGUACCCAAUAUUUUGUACUUGGAAAGCGCAACGAAAGCUGACUCAAAAUCUUGCAUGAUGAUGCUGUUUGGGCCCCCUGGUUGUACAUAGGAAGUGGACUCCUCGAGAAGAUGAAAGGUCUGCUUUACAUCAUUUUCAAUGAAAGUACAAGUACUUUGAGAAGUAGGAGAAGCUAAGCAACAGAACAGAAUUCAUUUGGGUCAUUGAUGUCUAGAUUAUAUAGUGGAUUCAUAGAUUGUCAUAUUGAUUUAUGUGCAUAUGAGCACAGAGGAGCAGUAGUCAAUGAAUAAUUUUGUG